rnacentral:pre_miRNA from 1 species
AGGGGGAGCCGGGAUCCUGGGCUGUGUCCCACACACCCUGGGUUCCGAAUCCUGCGCUGUUGGAUUUGCGCUCCUGGCCGCGCAUCCCCCU